AGAAAACUCAAAGAGCCAGAAAGUCUACGUGAGAGUGAAUUAAUGAGUUUUCACGCCCGGGUUAUGCAUUUAAUGAGGUCUGGACCACAAAGCGUAGCGAGCAACAAAAAUACCCAGGGUAGUUUAUUCACAUAACCACAAGGGCUAUUCUGCUAUCAACAAGAGCCCUGUUUCAAGGAAUGUUUUCAUUAAAAUGAUUAUCAAUCGUUUGGAUAACAAUAUGAUAUUGUACAUCGUGUUUAACUUAUAUUCUGGUGAAAGAAUCAUGUGAAAAAAGCGGUGCUUUUCUCAUGAAAUUCACUCGACUAGCUAUCAGAACAGUGCAUUCUUAAAAGGCGCCUAAAACGGAACCAAGGACACGUCGAGGGCAAUGGUCAAUGAGCUGCUUCUCUGAGUUAAAGUCACUGGUUUCCAGAUAAAAGCCUCGCACUUCAGUGUCACAUUACAGAUUCUGGGCUCCUUCGGCUCCCAUGGCUGGCAUUCCCGCCCCCGCACUGGAUGCACGACAUACGCCCUAUUUGUUUUGCAUGGACAUCCAUUGCAAAGCACACUGUUCUUUGUUAGAUGUACAAAUACCAACUCUAUUCUCUUCUAUCAAAACGCCCGCUUACCAGAAAGAAUAAACAAAUAAACAGACUUAGUGGCAAGUGGAUAUUUGAGUGGGUUUUCGGGAUGUAAAGCUGUCCGCUUGCGGUGUGGUAGUAAAAGAACAAAGAAAACAAAGAAGAAGAAGAAUGAAGAGAAGAAAAGGAAAAAGAAGAAGAAAAAAAAAAGAAAAGAAUGAGGAGGAGGAGGAAAGGAAAAGUAGUAGGAUACAUAAGAAGACAAAUUAAGGUAAAAAACAUAUACCUGAUACAUCCAAGGUUUUCCAAGGUGACCCUAUGGCACUUGUGACAAGUAUACGAGUAAUCAACAACAAGUGAGAUAUAAGUACCUGUGGAGUAGGCGAUGCGAUAUCAACUUAAUUAAAUGUCUUUCUCAAGUCUUGCUUGAUCAAAAGGAAUGUUGACAUAAGGAUCUCAUCACAAAAUUAAAAACUCGCUUCAGUUAUUUA